UGGGGAAUUUUGGACAAUGGGCGAAAGCCUGAUCCAGCAAUGCCGCGUGUGUGAAGAAGGCCUUCGGGUUGUAAAGCACUUUUGUCCGGAAAGAAAUCCUUGGCUCUAAUACAGUCGGGGGAUGACGGUACCGGAAGAAUAAGCACCGGCUAACUACGUGCCAGCAGCCGCGGUAAUACGUAGGGUGCAAGCGUUAAUCGGAAUUACUGGGCGUAAAGCGUGCGCAGGCGGUUUGCUAAGACCGAUGUGAAAUCCCCGGGCUCAACCUGGGAACUGCAUUGGUGACUGGCAGGCUAGAGUAUGGCAGAGGGGGGUAGAAUUCCACGUGUAGCAGUGAAAUGCGUAGAGAUGCGGAGGAAUACCGAUGGCGAAGGCAGCCCCCUGGGCCAAUACUGACGCUCAUGCACGAAAGCGUGGGGAGCAAACAGGAUUAGAUACCCUGGUAGUCCACGCCCUAAACGAUGUCAACUAGUUGUUGGGGAUUCAUUUCCUUAGUAACGUAGCUAACGCGUGAAGUUGACCGCCUGGGGAGUACGGUCGCAAGAUUAAAACUCAAAGGAAUUGACGGGGUCAUAGCUG
rnacentral:rRNA from 1 species